rnacentral:pre_miRNA from 1 species
CAUGUACUCCUCCGUUCGGAAUUACUUGUCGUAGAAAUGGAUGUAUCUAGACAUUUUUUAGUUCUAGAUACAACCAUUUCCGUGACAAGUAAUUUGGGACGGAGGGAGUAAUUA